UCGCUAGAGUUCUGGACAUUUUAUCUUUUGAAAAUCUAAAAAUUCAAAGAAAAAAGAUGAUGAGAUCCUAUUUGACAUAAUACCUAGAGUCUUAUAAGAUAUGAAUAUUAAAACUGUGGGUACUUGCUUUGUUCAAGCCAUUGUUAAUUCUUGUAAUUUUGGUUGAGAGAAUUGUCAUGCUCCAAAGAUCAAGGUCUUUUUGUUUUAAAAAUAUAAAAGAUUCACUCUUCCGAAGUAUUAUUGCGUUAGAGGCAUGGGACUAUGCAAAAAUUUGAUUCGAAAAAAAAAGAGUAAGACGAGAGGAAAAAAUGGACAAGUGUCCGAAGUAGAAUUAGGGGUACAAAGAUACCCACCUGAGUGGAAAAAAUGGACACGUGUCCGAUAGUAGAAUUAGGGAU
rnacentral:lncRNA from 1 species